UACGGAGGGUGCGAGCGUUGUCCGGAAUCACUGGGCGUAAAGGGCGCGUAGGCGGCGCGGGUAGUCAACGGUGAAAGCUUGGGGCUCAACCCCGAGUCGGCCGUCGAUACUCCCGCGCUCGAGCACUGUAGAGGCAGGUGGAAUUCCGGGUGUAGCGGUGGAAUGCGUAGAGAUCCGGAAGAACACCGGUGGCGAAGGCGGCCUGCUGGGCAGUAGCUGACGCUGAGGCGCGACAGCGUGGGGAGC
rnacentral:rRNA from 1 species